AGAGUUUGAUCAUGGCUCAGGAUGAACGCUGGCGGCGUGCUUAACACAUGCAAGUCGAACGGGAAUGUUUCGCUGAUGCGAUUUCGGUCAAAUCUUGAAGCAUUUUAGUGGCGGACGGGUGAGUAACGCGUGGGUAACCUGCCCUGUACAGGGGGACAACAGUUGGAAACGACUGCUAAUACCGCAUAAGCGCACAGCUUCGCAUGAAGCGGUGUGAAAAACUCCGGUGGUACAGGAUGGACCCGCGUCUGAUUAGAUAGUUGGUGAGGUAACGGCCCACCAAGUCAACGAUCAGUAGCCGGCCUGAGAGGGUGAACGGCCACAUUGGGACUGAGACACGGCCCAAACUCCUACGGGAGGCAGCAGUGGGGAAUAUUGCACAAUGGGGGAAACCCUGAUGCAGCGACGCCGCGUGAGUGAAGAAGUAUUUCGGUAUGUAAAGCUCUAUCAGCAGGGAAGAAAACAAUGACGGUACCUGACUAAGAAGCCCCGGCUAACUACGUGCCAGCAGCCGCGGUAAUACGUAGGGGGCAAGCGUUAUCCGGAUUUACUGGGUGUAAAGGGAGCGUAGACGGUAGACCAAGUCUGAAGUGAAAGCCCGGGGCUCAACCCCGGAACUGCUUUGGAAACUGGUAAACUAGAGUGCAGGAGAGGUAAGUGGAAUUCCUAGUGUAGCGGUGAAAUGCGUAGAUAUUAGGAGGAACACCAGUGGCGAAGGCGGCUUACUGGACUGUAACUGACGUUGAGGCUCGAAAGCGUGGGGAGCAAACAGGAUUAGAUACCCUGGUAGUCCACGCCGUAAACGAUGAUUACUAGGUGUCGGGGAGUUACAC
rnacentral:rRNA from 1 species